rnacentral:rRNA from 1 species
GACGAACGCUGGCGGCGUGCUUAACACAUGCAAGUCGAACGGACAGGCCCUGCUUUUGUGGGGUGCUCGAGUGGCGAACGGGUGAGUAACACGUGAGUAACCUGCCCUUGACUUUGGGAUAACUUCAGGAAACUGGGGCUCAUACCGGAUAGGAGCUCCUGCUGCAUGGUGGGGGUUGGAAAGAUUCGGCGGUUGGGGAUGGACUCGCGGCUUAUCAGCUUGUUGGUGGGGUAGUGGCUUACCAAGGCUUUGACGGGUAGCCGGCCUGAGAGGGUGACCGGCCACAUUGGGACUGAGAUACGGACCAGACUCCUACGGGAGGCAGCAGUGGGGAAUAUUGCACAAUGGGCGGAAGCCAGAUGCAGCAACGCCGCGUGCGGGAUGACGGCCUUCGGGUUGUAAACCGCUUUCGCCUGUGACGAAGCGUGAGUGACGGUAAUGGGUAAAGAAGCACCGGCUAACUACGUG